rnacentral:rRNA from 1 species
UACGAAGGGGGCUAGCGUUGCUCGGAAUCACUGGGCGUAAAGCGCACGUAGGCGGAUCUUUAAGUCAGGGGUGAAAUCCCAAGGCUCAACCUUGGAACUGCCUUUGAUACUGGGGAUCUCGAGUCCGGAGGAGGUUGGUGGAACUCCGAGUGUAGAGGUGAAAUUCGUAGAUAUUCGGAAGAACACCAGUGGCGAAGGCGGCCAACUGGUCCGGCCAGCUG